AAUGAACGCUGGCGGCAUGCCUUACACAUGCAAGUCGAACGGCAGCAUGACCUAGCUUGCUAGGUUGAUGGCGAGUGGCGAACGGGUGAGUAUGCAUCGGAACGUGCCUUUUAGUGGGGGAUAACGUAGCGAAAGUUACGCUAAUACCGCAUAUUCUCUGAGGAGGAAAGCAGGGGACCUUCGGGCCUUGCGCUAGAAGAGCGGCCGAUGUCGGAUUAGCUAGUUGGUGAGGUAAAGGCUCACCAAGGCAACGAUCCGUAGCGGGUCUGAGAGGAUGAUCCGCCACACUGGGACUGAGACACGGCCCAGACUCCUACGGGAGGCAGCAGUGGGGAAUUUUGGACAAUGGGCGCAAGCCUGAUCCAGCCAUGCCGCGUGAGUGAAGAAGGCCUUCGGGUUGUAAAGCUCUUUCGGCUGGGAAGAAAUCGCACCCUCUAAUACAGGGUGUGGAUGACGGUACCAGCAUAAGAAGCACCGGCUAACUACGUG
rnacentral:rRNA from 1 species